AUGGCUCAGGAUGAACGCUAGCUACAGGCUUAACACAUGCAAGUCGAGGGGCAGCAUUGGAGUAGCAAUACUUCAGAUGGCGACCGGCGCACGGGUGAGUAACACGUAUCCAACCUGCCGCUUACUCGGGGAUAGCCUUUCGAAAGAAAGAUUAAUACCCGAUGGUAUAAAGAGUUCGCAUGUUCUCUUUAUUAAAGAAUUUCGGUAAGCGAUGGGGAUGCGUUCCAUUAGAUAGUUGGCGGGGUAACGGCCCACCAAGUCUACGAUGGAUAGGGGUUCUGAGAGGAGGGUCCCCCACAUUGGAACUGAGACACGGUCCAAACUCCUACGGGAGGCAGCAGUGAGGAAUAUUGGUCAAUGGACGAGAGUCUGAACCAGCCAAAGUAGCGUGAAGGAUGACUGCCCUAUGGGUUGUAAACUUCUUUUAUAAGGGAAUAAAGUGAGGGACGUGUCCCUUUUUGUAUGUACCUUAUGAAUAAGGAUCGGCUAACUCCGUGCCAGCCGCUGC
rnacentral:rRNA from 1 species